rnacentral:rRNA from 1 species
GAUCAUUACAGAGUUCAUGCCCUCACGGGUAGAUCUCCCACCCUUGUGUAUUCUAAUCAAUUGUUGCUUUGGCGGGCCGCAUGCCUAGCUUGCCCGGGGGUCUCCCGGCGUGCCCGCCAGAGGACCCCUAAACUCUGAAUGUUGGUGUCGUCUGAGUAUUAUAUAAUAGUUAAAACUUUCAACAACGGAUCUCUUGGUUCUGGCAUCGAUGAAGAACGCAGCGAAAUGCGAUAAGUAAUGUGAAUUGCAGAAUUCAGUGAAUCAUCGAAUCUUUGAACGCACAUUGCGCCCCUUGGUAUUCCGGGGGGCAUGCCUGUUCGAGCGUCAUUAUGACCAAUCCAGCCUGGCUGGGUAUUGGGCCUCGCCGCUAAGCGGGCCUUAAAGCUAGUGGCGGUGCUCUCAGGCUCUACGCGUAGUAAUUCUUCUCGCUAUGGAGUCCUGAGAGAUGCUUGCCAUCAACCUCAACUUUCUUAGGUUGACCUCGGAUCAGGUAGGGAUACCCGCUGAACUUAAGCAUAUCAAUAAGCGGAGGAAAAGAAACCAACAGGGAUUACCUCAGUAACGGCGAGUGAAGCGGUAACAGCUCAAAUUUGAAAUCUGGCUCUUUUAGGGUCCGAGUUGUAAUUUGUAGAAGAUGCUUUGGGUGUGGCCCCGGUCUAAGUUUCUUGGAACAGGACGUCAUAGAGGGUGAGAAUCCCGUAUGUGACUGGGCGCUUUCGUCCGUGUAAAGCUCUUUCGACGAGUCGAGUUGUUUGGGAAUGCAGCUCAAAAUGGGUGGUAAAUUUCAUCUAAAGCUAAAUAUUGGCCAGAGACCGAUAGCGCACAAGUAGAGUGAUCGAAAGAUGAAAAGCACUUUGGAAAGAGAGUUAAACAGUACGUGAAAUUGUUGAAAGGGAAGCGCUUGCAACCAGACUCGCAUACCGCUGAUCAUCCGGGGUUCUCCCCGGUGCACUCGGUGGUUUUCGGGCCAGCAUCAGUUUGGGUGGUGGGAUAAAGGCUUUGGGAAUGUAGCUUCUUUCGGGGAGUGUUAUAGCCCUCGGUGUAAUGCCACCUACCUGGACUGAGGACCGC